GGUUGCCACAAUGUAGCGUGUAAUCAUGUCACAAUGGUUGGUGGCUUUUACCUUCGUUAAUUGAUAUUUAUCUAGCACACUCUUUGUUCAAAUCCUGAGUCCGCCACUGGCUGGAGCCACCGCCGUCGGCCUGGGCUGUGCCUCCCUCGCUAGCCUCCCCUAUGCCCCCAUUUUGCCUCCUCCGGACUGCAGGACCCCAGCACCCGACCCCGCGCCUGGACGCCGUCGCCCAACGACGCCGCUGCCUAACGCCGCCAGCACGGACGACGCGCGACCCAAGCUAGACGCCGCCUCAACUUGCCUGACGUCGCCCCCUCCAAAUCCAAAAUGUAGGCCCGACGCCGGUUCCCUCCGCCGCACCGUACAGAUUCCGAAGUGACUUGAAGAGGAUAGAGGAGAUUUAGUUACAAGUUCAGAGAUGCACUUGAUCAGACAAUUUCGGAGAUGCACAAUAGUAUUUCUCCUUCAGGUGUUGAUGUGCAGACCAUAAACUAGUAUUGACUGUUCAUUUUUUAUGUUACCAAUAACUCUAUUCAGACUCAUAUAAAGUUUCACUUGUAUAAAUAUUGUGUAAGCAGUGACAAAAAUGUGUGUAAAAUAUCACUGCAAAAAUGUGUGUGAAGCUUGUAAAAAAUUUACAUGAAA